rnacentral:rRNA from 1 species
CAGUCGCCGCGGGAAUACAGAGGGUGCGAGCGUUAAUCGGAUUUACUGGGCGUAAAGCGUGCGUAGGCGGCUAAUUGAGUCGGAUGUGAAAUCCCCGAGCUUAACUUGGGAAUUGCAUUCGAUACUGGUUAGCUAGAGUGUGGGAGAGGAUGGUAGAAUUCCAGGUGUAGCGGUGAAAUGCGUAGAGAUCUGGAGGAAUACCGAUGGCGAAGGCAGCCAUCUGGCCUAACACUGACGCUGAGGUACGAAAGCAUGGGGAGCAAACAGGAUUAGAUACCCGGGUAGUCCCUGUCUCUUAUAA